GUCUAUCUUCGGGGCAGGGUGAAAUUCCCGAUCGGCGGUAAUAAGGUUAAUUCUUUAAGCCCGCGAGCCUUUGUGGCAGGAUUUGGUGCGAUUCCAAAGCCGACAGUAAAGUCUGGAUGGGAGAAGAUGGAG
rnacentral:ncRNA from 2 species